rnacentral:rRNA from 1 species
AAGGUUUCCGUAGGUGAACCUGCGGAAGGAUCAUUAACGAAUAAACCUGUGUGGGUUGUUGCUGACCACUUUGUGGUAUGUGCACGCCUGCCAUCGUUUCAUUCACCUUCCACCUGUGCACUUUCUGUAGGCUGUGCUGUUCUUUUCGGGGUUCUUGAAUCCUGGCAUGAGGAAUUGCCUACUGGCCUUCCUUGGAUGGCUGCAGUCUAUGUCUUUAUCAACUCAUUGUAUGUAACUGAAUGCAUGAACUGGGCUUUCAUUGCCCAUAAAACCUUAUACAACUUUCAACAACGGAUCUCUUGGCUCUCGCAUCGAUGAAGAACGCAGCGAAAUGCGAUAAGUAAUGUGAAUUGCAGAAUUCAGUGAAUCAUCGAAUCUUUGAACGCACCUUGCGCUUCUUGGCAUUCCGAGGAGCAUGCCUGUUUGAGUGUCAUUAAAUCCUCAACCCCAUCUUCCUUGUGAAAGUGGUCAGUUGGACUUUGGGAGCUGCUGGCUUGGUGUCAGCUCUUCUGAAAUAAAUUAGCAGGGAACCUUAUGUGCUGGACUGCAGCUCGGUAUUGAUAGUUGUCUUACCAGGUUGACAGUUGGGCAUUCACUCUGCUCACAGCCGUCUCUCUUGAGACAAGUGACUUGACGAUUUGACCUCAAAUCAGGUAGGACUACCCGCUGAAC